rnacentral:tRNA from 2 species
GGCGAGGUGGCAGAGCGGCCGAAUGCGGGCGCCUUGAAAGCGUCUGAGGUGUAAAAGCCUCCGGGGGUUCAAAUCCCUCCCUCGCCG